rnacentral:rRNA from 1 species
AUGCACGCUGGCGGCGUGCCUAAUCCAUGCCCGUCGAGCGAACAGACGAGGAGCUUGCUCCUCUGACGUUAGCGGCGGACGGGUGAGUAACACGUGGAUAACCUACCUAUAAGACUGGGAUAACUUCGGGAAACCGGAGCUAAUACCGGAUAAUAUAUUGAACCGCAUGGUUCAAUAGUGAAAGACGGUUUUGCUGUCACUUAUAGAUGGAUCCGCGCCGCAUUAGCUAGUUGGUAAGGUAACGGCUUACCAAGGCAACGAUGCGUAGCCGACCUGAGAGGGUGAUCGGCCACACUGGAACUGAGACACGGUCCAGACUCCUACGGGAGGCAGCAGUAGGGAAUCUUCCGCAAUGGGCGAAAGCCUGACGGAGCAACGCCGCGUGAGUGAUGAAGGUCUUCGGAUCGUAAAACUCUGUUAUUAGGGAAGAACAAAUGUGUAAGUAACUAUGCACGUCUUGACGAUACCUAAUCAGAAAGCCACGGCUAACUACGUG